rnacentral:rRNA from 1 species
GGGCCCGCACAAGCGGUGGAGCAUGUGGUUUAAUUCGAUGAUACGCGAGGAACCUUACCAGGGCUUAAAUGCAGAACGACCGGGGUGGAAACACCCCUUUCUUCGGACGGUCUGCAAGGUGCUGCAUGGUUGUCGUCAGCUCGUGCUGUGAAGUGUCGGGUUAAGUCCCAUAACGAGCGCAACCCCUAUUUCUAGUUGCCAGCGGUUCGGCCGGGGACUCUAGAGAAACUGCCAGCGUAAGCUGUGAGGAAGGUGGGGAUGACGUCAAAUCAUCACGGCCCUUACGUCCUGGGCCACACACGUGCUACAAUGGUGGGGACAACGAGUCGCUAGUAAUCGCGCAUCAGCCAUGGCGCGGUGAAUACGUUCCCGGGCCUUGUACACACCGCCCGUCAAGCCAUGGAAGCUGGGGGUACCUGAAG